rnacentral:rRNA from 1 species
CCCGCCCGCUGGCGGCAUGCCUAACACAUGCAAGUCGAACGAGACCUUCGGGUCUAGUGGCGCACGGGUGCGUAACGCGUGGGAACCUGCCCUUAGGUUCGGAAUAACUCCCCGAAAGGGGUGCUAAUACCGGAUAAUGUCUUCGGACCAAAGAUUUAUCGCCUUUGGAUGGGCCCGCGUUGGAUUAGCUAGUUGGUAGGGUAAAAGCCUACCAAGGCGACGAUCCAUAGCUGGUCUGAGAGGAUGAUCAGCCACACUGGGACUGAGACACGGCCCAGACUCCUACGGGAGGCAGCAGUGGGGAAUAUUGGACAAUGGGCGAAAGCCUGAUCCAGCCAUGUCGCGUGAGUGAUGAAGGCCUUAGGGUUGUAAAGCUCUUUUACCCGGGAUGAUAAUGACAGUACCGGGAGAAUAAGCUCCGGCUAACUCCGUG